UAGAGUUUUGUUUUAGAGACUUUGUUCACCACUUGCAAAUAUGUGUAUAUCCACAGCCCCAGCACGUGUUAUGGUCCAGAUUUGGUUGCUUGUUGUGUGAUGAGGAUGCAAGUCUCCUCAAAGGCAUGUUCCUAUUCAGGGCUUUAAGUUGUAAAGGACGAAAGGCUAUGGGGAUCUCUGCAACUGUGAAGUGAAGAAUUCCCUACGCCAGCACUUCUCCAACUCAUGCUCUGCAGAAGGGGG
rnacentral:lncRNA from 1 species